rnacentral:lncRNA from 1 species
AACAGCUCCUUUGAAAUUACUCCUAUUUAAGAAGAAAAAUCAUAUUACUUUCUUAAUCUUUCUAAUUCUAUUCUCAUAAGAUGAUCUUGGAUUUGUUCCUUUAGCACAGACUCUUUAGUGCAGUCCUGAUUUCUGUAUUAAUGAAUUGAGAAGAUGACAUCAGGCUCUUAGAUCAGCUUGGAAAAACAAAUGUCUUGAGUUGGAGCCCACACAAUUGUCUUCCUUGUUUGUGUUCAAAGACGUGUACCUGGUGGUCCAGAUGAGUAUCGUACUACCCGCCCCACAUAGCCUGAAAUUCUACUGGUGGAUGUAUGACACGUAGAGUUGUCCACAGAGGUAUUCCUGUUGAGGAAGAAGAUGGAGGGGGGCUGGAGCCUGGGAAGGCAAACUAUGACAACAAGAGCCACCAAGCGAAGGAAAGAGAAACAGUGACGGAGGCUAAGCAUGAAUUUCCAACAUAACCAUCAGUCUGACUUCGGCUU